rnacentral:lncRNA from 1 species
AUGGAGGUUCCCAGGCUAGCGGUCCAACUGGAGCUGCCGCCGUGGGUCUACACCACAGCCAACAGCAACACCAGAUCCAAGCCGAGUCUGUGACCUACAUCACAGCUCACGGCAAUGCAGGAUCUUAACCCACUGAGUGAGGCCAGGGAUCGAAGCUGCGUCCUCAUGGAUACGGCUCGGGUUCUUAACCCACUUAGCCACAGCAGGAACUCCCCAUCUCACUUCUACGCACACAGUCUUAGCAGAGCAGAGUUUCUUGAGCGAUUCAACACUGAAUGUGCAUCUAGCUCGUUCUUUGCAGGAGGCAUGUGGUUCACCUCUCACUGCCCCUCCCCGGGGCCGAGACCGUGAACUCCGCUGGUCCCUUUGCCGUGGGCACAACACAGAGGAAGAGAUGUGGCCGGUGACGGAAACAGGACAGACUGCUGACUCCACACUCCCCACAAGCCCAGACGCAGCGAGAGCAGUGACAGCAGGGCUUCCCACACGGUCAGCAGGAUGGGCGGUUCCUUCCACUUGGGAACGGAACCGAGUUCAGACCCAGCGAGGAACCACAUGCCUCUUUUGUGUCUCAAUUUCCCAGCUAACAAAUGAGGUUUGCAGAGCCCACAGAGUUUCAAGUCACGUGUCCCUUGCGCAGAAAGAAGGCACAGACUCGAAGCAUUUGAAAUGGCUUUGGUGCUGUGACAAUUCCUGUCUCGAACGGCAUCCUAAAAGAUAAUUUCCAGUUUGUCGGAAGCUUCCCUCCUCUGUGUCGUUAUUUCACAGGGAAAUGGACGUGACUUUGACCCUGUUCUAACCCAAGGGCCGUGGGGAAAACCGGCUUUUUACGUCCCGGGAGCCUCAGGUCCAGGUGGCGCAAAACAGGAGGGAAUUUUGUGCUCCUCGCUGGGGUACGGAUGCUGUGUUUUGUGCCCUGCAGAUUUCCUCAGCUUCGUUCAUGAGGCCUGACAAUUCCCAGGCAAGAUGCUGGCUCAGAUGGCAGCCUCGUCCUUAAUGUGGCUUUUGUUUCACAAGCAGCGAAUGCCGAGCUUCCCUCUCUGCGCCUUCUGGGCGUCCUGGUAACGUGGCAGAGGGAGAACUCUAAUUUUCAGCUCUGAUAAAGUGUUUCCAGAAUAAAGUAACAUGUUGUUCAAAUUCCAAACCCACAUGCCUAGAAACUGUAAUUUUCUGAGCGGAUGGCAACUCUCAGCUACAAACAGAAGAAGAGCCCCUGUGCCAAAGCUUCGGCUUUUGAAACACUCCUGGCCCCGAGGCCCAUCCACAGCGGAGCCCGGCAGGGGUGUGGGGCCCGGCAGAACAGAAGCUCCGAGCAUCCCGGCCUGACCCACCACCUGCAGAGCUGCAGACAGAGGUGGGGGGGCUGCUGGCCCCCUGGGGGGCCCUCCAGAGGCGGCCGUCUCUGCUGGUGACCACAGCCCCACCUGCAGCACUGGGGCGCUUGCCUGGGCUCCGGCGUCCCCCGGGAUUUGGUUUCAAGAAGCAAAACAAAUACAAGUUCAAGAGACUUCUUGCUUUCAAAAAAAAAGAAGGGUUAUUUAUAUUGUUGCACCAAUAUUUUUAAUGUACUUUAAGGUAAAAGAAAAUUCCAUAAACAGAGAUUCACAAGUACCCGUCCCUGAGGACCUGGGGGCAGCGAUUCUGCCUCCUCCAGAGUGAAAGGAACCCCCGCGCCGUGGUGCCACUGUGUUGGCCAGGUGGCUCCGAGGACGCGGUCACUCAGAGGGACACGCGUUCCAGUCGGGCCAUUUCCUCUGCGUCCCAGAGACGAAGACGAGGACGAGCCACGGCAGCUUCAGCAAAGCUGUGCCCGCCGAGCACUGUAUAUGCAGACUCACAGACACGCAGACACACAGACACACACGCACACACACUCACACUUGCACACUGACACACACACAGACACACUCGCACACAGACACGUGGUGGACACACACAGUCAGUCACCACAGACACACAGUCACACACACACACACAGCCACUGCGGACACACACCUACACACACAGAUACACAAGCACACACAGAAACACAGCCAUACAUAGAGACACACAUUACCCACACCCACACUCACACACGUAUACACACACGGAGUCAGAGAUGUACAGACACACACAUACACACAGUCAUACUCACACACACACACACACACACACACACACACGUUUCCGGAGCGCUGGGCAGCCUGGCCCCCGCGCGGACGGCGCUAAGCCUCCUCCUUGCGGAGCAGGUUCCAUUGGAGCUGCCCCCUUCCCCAGCCCUCCCCCAUCACCACGGUUCCCUGUCACCUUCUGGGGUCCCUCACCCUCUUCCCAGGACCCUGGCGGAGAGGCCCCUGUGUCCUGCUGGGGUCUCCACGCCCCGUCAGCCCGACCCGGCCGGCAGGUGGGCUUGUCUCCGCCUCUGCCUCACAACCAUCUCCCCAUCCUGCCCCCCUGCUCCCCUCGCAGUCCCCCCAUUUGCUUUCUCCUCCCUCAGGGUCACCGUCGCACACACUGGCCACCGGCCUGACCCCCACUGCGAUCGGGGCAGACAGCACCCUGGGGAGACAGGGAGUCCGUCCAACACCAUUUAAAUCCCUGCGAGUUAAUGGCUGCAGCAAACGUGCAGAACACGAGAGGAAUUUAGAAUCGAAUUCAGCUGGAAAUAACACUGCGACGUCCAGCUACGUGGGCCAGAGUCACGGCAGGAAGGGGGGACCGAAUGGAGGGGACAGGGGUGUAAACCAAGCUGUUCCCAAGACAUGGACACAGCAAGGCGAGAACCAAGGGCAGAGCCAGCCCAGCGAGUACAGGACCAGCCCAGCCUGGCCAUCAAGAAUGUCCUACCUCCCGCUCACACUUCCCGCCCAACCCCCUGCACGAGAUGUGACCUCUGCCAGCUCUGAGGAGUCCCCCAAAUUCACUGGGAAUCCAACCCCAAAUUUAUUUGGGAUGAUAUCAUCAUUUCCGUCGUGAGCACGUGACAUUUAAUCUUGAAAAGAUACGGAAUUAGGGAGUUCCCGUCACGGCGCAGUGGUUAACGAUUCCGACUAGGAACCACGAGGUUGCCGGUUCGAUCCCUGGCCUUGUGCAGUGGGUUAAGGAUCCAGUGUUGCCGUGAGCUGUGGUGUAGGUUGCAGACGCGGCUCGGAUCCUGCGUGGCUGUGGCUCCAGCGUAGGCCAGCAGCUGUAGCUCCGAUUAGACUCCUAGCCUGGGAACCUCCAUAUGCCCAAAAAACAAAACAAAGAAAAGAAAAAGAAAAACUCUGUGAAUAUUUGUUAUUGUUCCUAUUUGUUAUGUUUAAGAGGAUUUUGUUGCUCAAAUGUCGUCAAACUUGUAAUUUUUAUUUUUUUUUUUUUUUACUGCUGUACCUACAGCAUAUGGAGGUUCCCAGGCCAAGGGUCAAAUCGGAGCUGCAGCUGCUGGCCUACACCACAGCCACAGCAAGUCCAGAUUCUCAAUACACUGAGCCAGGCCAGGAAUCGAAACUGCAUCCUCACAGAGUCAACGUCGGAUCCUUAAUUCACUGAGCCACAAUGGGAACUCCUUCUUUGAGUUUUUAAUAGGACCAAAGAUUAAUCAAAGGCCCUCUUUGAAAAGUUACUCAAUAGUACUAGAUUCACUGUUGAAAAUAAGCUUUGCAGGUUGAAUGUCACAUACAAAGGGCACGAAAGGACACUGCUGUUGUGCUAAUGAAACGACAUUUAAAUAUUCACCGAGUUCCAUUAUAAAUGGAUUUCUUAGGAGACACAUCUGCAAGGACCACCUUUUCUUCCCCUGAAAAGACCAUCUCAGUCUUCAUGAGCACACGCUCACAAGAGAAGCCGAGGGGCCAGUCUGAGCUCAAGG